UUAUCACCAAUUUGUCCAUUUCGUUUGUGAUGAUAAAAAGAAAAGAAAAAAAAAAACUCAAAAGGGUAUAUAUAUAUGUAGCUACUCAGAUUUCUCAAAUGAUCCAAUCGCCAUUACUGGUUCUUUGCAUGCUGUGGAGAUCGAGAGGCAUCGCCGUUGUCUGUGUGGAGUAUCCACUCUAGUCUUCACUUGAUGGUAUGAGCUUUAAAAGGUGUUUUGCGUGCACUGUGCGUGCGUCAUGCGUGCGUUGUGCGUGCACUUUCCUUGUAUGAUAAAAAAUGACCUCAUUUAUCAAUAUUCUUGCAUUUAACCAAGCGGUGGCCAGACAGAGGCGGGCAAAUGAAAUUAAGUACUACUAGGGGUGCCUUCCCCGGUUGCUGAAUUGCGGUAUAUAAAGUGUGUAAUGUUCUCGGGUGUCCUGGAUCCUCUAUUCUCAAAGAAUAUUACACACUUUAUAUGCUGCAGUUCGGAAACCGGGAGAGGCACCCCUAGCAGUACUGAACCGGCCAGCGGCCGUGGAUGCAACAUGGCUACCGUGGCCUAUCGUGUCCGUGACUCACCAAAAUGGCACUCCAGAGGCAUCAUAGUAAAAUCUGGCACCUAUUAUUUUUCUAAUAAGGAUCCACCAAAGUUUAUAUAAGUUGAUAAACUACUAACUACUCAAAUGCAGCGAACCUUGUACAUGAAACUAGCUUGUCUUCUCGUUUAUUACUUAUUACAAUUGAUAUAGGACUCUGCCAAUAAAAAAACAAAAAUAUAUAUAUAUGACAGAGUACUGUACUAUACUGUAAA